CAGUGUCAAGGCACGUAUUAACAUUAUUUAUAUUGUAGCACGAUGAAAGUAAAAGUGUUGUUUAUUAUUCGUUUUUGCUGUAUGUCGAGUAUUAAAUUUGUUUAAUGUGAGAGAAAUCGAUUAUUUUGUACUCAUUUUGCUACGUAGCAAAAUAUGUGGAAGGGGCGAUUUCCAGUCAAAGGUCAAAAAUAUUUCAUCAUCCAGGUAGAGCCACACUAUUACUUUUGUCGUAGCCCGCCUCGUAGCAAUUCGUAGCUCGUAGCGUGGCCUAGUCGUAGCACCCGCUACGACAUUGUCUGUUGCUCCAAUUUCACAUACUACGAAGUACGCUCCACUUCCACGCGAUUUUAAAUGGUUGCAAUUUGUUCAGAUAUUAUUUUUAUUUCAUUUAUUUUUAUUGGUUGGAUAUCAAACUAUAGAAUUUAUGGAAACUGAAAUUAAUAAUAAUAAUAAUUCAGUGAAAAUGGUAGUGGAUGUGAUAUGAACUGCCAAUGAAUAAGAACUAUUUCAACGGGUUCACAAGACAGAACGGGAAAAUCGCGUUUCCAACUCCGAGUUCUGCUCUGUUCCAUAAAAGGUUUCCGCAACCAAAAGAAUUGGCGAAAGUUUGAGGAACCUCAUCGUCGAGUUGAUUUUUAAAGUUAAUAUUCCAAGUUGGAGUGGCAAUUUACACUGGAAUUCCAUCUGAGGCGAACUGCUAAGUAGACGCCUGAAUAAUGUAAGGAAAAUGCUAUUCAAAGAGUUUCAAAGACUGUAAAUAGGUAUCGGCGAAAGACGAAGCGAAGAAGCGUCCACCUCAAAGGUAGCGGUAGAAAACGGGAACCUUCCUUAGCAGCACUAUGUGUUGCUAGUGAAGAGUAGAGUAUAUUUUACCCGUGACCAUGUCAGCGUGAUGGAACUGGCAAACAACGACCACCUCGUACCACGAGAUGUAGCCUCUAAAGUACCAAGUAAACCUUCCCCAAUAGCACUAUGUUUUACUGAUUAAAAGAGAAUCUAUCUUACCUGUGAC